rnacentral:rRNA from 1 species
UGAUGGAGGGGGAUAACUACUGGAAACGGUAGCUAAUACCGCAUAACGUCGCAAGACCAAAGAGGGGGACCUUCGGGCCUCUUGCCAUCGGAUGUGCCCAGAUGGGAUUAGCUAGUAGGUGGGGUAACGGCUCACCUAGGCGACGAUCCCUAGCUGGUCUGAGAGGAUGACCAGCCACACUGGAACUGAGACACGGUCCAGACUCCUACGGGAGGCAGCAGUGGGGAAUAUUGCACAAUGGGCGCAAGCCUGAUGCAGCCAUGCCGCGUGUAUGAAGAAGGCCUUCGGGUUGUAAAGUACUUUCAGCGGGGAGGAAGGGAGUAAAGUUAAUACCUUUGCUCAUUGACGUUACCCGCAGAAGAAGCACCGGCUAACUCCGUGCCAGCAGCCGCGGUAAUACGGAGGGUGCAAGCGUUAAUCGGAAUUACUGGGCGUAAAGCGCACGCAGGCGGUUUGUUAAGUCAGAUGUGAAAUCCCCCGG